rnacentral:rRNA from 1 species
AUUGAACGCUGGCGGCAUGCCUUACACAUGCAAGUCGAACGGCAGCACGGGAGCAAUCCUGGUGGCGAGUGGCGAACGGGUGAGUAAUAUAUCGGAACGUGCCCGGUCGUGGGGGAUAACGUAGCGAAAGCUACGCUAAUACCGCAUACUAUCUAUGGAUGAAAGCGGGGGAUCGCAAGACCUCGCGCGAUUGGAGCGGCCGAUAUCAGAUUAGGUAGUUGGUGAGGUAAAGGCUCACCAAGCCGACGAUCUGUAGCUGGUCUGAGGGGGACGACCAGCCACACUGGGACUGAGACACGGCCCAGACUCCUACGGGAGGCAGCAGUGGGGAAUUUUGGACAAUGGGCGCAAGCCUGAUCCAGCAAUGCCGCGUGCAGGAUGAAGGCC